AGGACCAGCGCCAGCCACCAGCAGCUCACCCGGUUUUGAUAUAAGAUUUAGUGACAGUGAAAAAUCAUCUCCUCUCAUGAUUCAGAGGCAAAAAAUCUUUCGUGUAAUCGUUUGCCACACGAUACGCCGUCAGCAUAUGUACCAUGCCAAGUAGGAGCCCAAAAAAAGUCUAGAGAGCUUUACAAUACGAUUCAACCGAUAGCAGUGUAAAAAAUGAUUCGGAGGAAUUAGCUCGAGACUGGUUUGUGAAGUUUUGAAUUCAAGUUGCAUUACUGGAAAGGUACAUAUACCACGACCUGGCAACCCUUUAUGGUUACGAGCAAAGAUGGUGAAAUACCUUGGACAGACACUCUUCUAAAAGAUUCAGUCAUUCUCUGCUCGUUCGAACUUGACGAUAACAGCCAUCUCCAAGAAAAUACCAGAAAAUAUUUAAAACGGUGGUAUCGGGAGGAAGCUAAAAGGGCUAAGGGUCUGGAUUAAUUUAAAAAACAAAAUAUUUUCAACGCUUGUACCUAUAAUUAUACAGACGCAAGAUGCUAAAUUUUUAAGUGCAGAACCAUUGGAGAAUAUUACCCUCAAUAUCAUUAUCGCAUGCUAACUAAAAUGUAUGCCAACAUUCAAAUGACUCAUUUAUUUUCAGGAAUAAUCACUGAUAUGAAUAAUAAAAACUCCCUAAGUAUGGACUGCAUUGUUUUGAGCUUUUAUAUUAACCCAUUAACCCAUUGUAGAUACAGUGCACUACGUUACUCGGGCACCCCUAUAUGUCUCUCACGUUGAGAUAUAGCUAGGGGUUUCCGAAAUUCGGACACCCCUAUUUGUCUCUCGCAUUGUUAUAUAGGGGGUUUCCGUAAUUCGGACACCCCUAUUCUCU
rnacentral:lncRNA from 1 species